rnacentral:rRNA from 1 species
UACGUAGGGUGCAAGCGUUGUUCGGAAUUACUGGGCGUAAAGAGCUCGUAGGCGGCUUGUCGCGUCGACUGGUGAAAACUCGGGGCUCAACUCCGAGCUUGCAGUCGAUACGGGCAGGCUAGAGUUCGGUAGGGGAGAUCGGAAUUCCUGGUGUAGCGGUGAAAUGCGCAGAUAUCAGGAGGAACACCGGUGGCGAAGGCGGAUCUCUGGGCCGAUACUGACGUUGAGGAGCGAAAGCGUGGGGAGCGAACAGG